rnacentral:pre_miRNA from 1 species
UUAAGACUUGCAGUGAUGUUCGAGAAUUCUUGGCCGAACAUCACUCAAGUCUGGUCU